GAGUGCGCGUGCCGUAGCAAUACGGUAUGGCGCACGGCGCACGGGUGCGUAACACGUGGGCAAUCUGCCCUCCGAUGGGGAAUAACCCCGCGAAAGCAGGGCUAAUUCCGCAUAACAUUCCCUGGACUCCGGUUCGGGGAUUCAAAGCAGCAAUGCGUCGGAGGAGGAGCCCGCGCCCGAUUAGCUAGUUGGUGAGGUAACGGCUCACCAAGGCAAUGAUCGGUAGCUGGUCUGAGAGGAUGGCCAGCCACACUGGAACUGAGACACGGUCCAGACUCCUACGGGAGGCAGCAGUGGGGAAUCUUGCGCAAUGGGCGAAAGCCUGACGCAGCGACGCCGCGUGGGGGAUGAAGCUUUUCGGAGUGUAAACCCCUUUCGACCGGGACGAAUGCCCGCAAGGGAGUGACGGUACCGGUAGAAGAAGCCCCGGCUAACUACGUG
rnacentral:rRNA from 1 species